UGAGUGUGGAGGAGGUUACAGAUGCAGAUGCUUCAGUUCCUGAACCCACUGAUGAGGUUUCCUUAGUGGGGCAGGCACUUCACACCAUCCUUGCUUAGUCGACACAUCUGGUCAAGUCUUUAUCACAAUAGGUACUUAUUGUCCUUACUAUAUGUUUCUUCUUUUUAAAUUAAUUCAUUAAGCGUGCCUCAAAUUAAGCUAUUUAACUUUGUUUCAUGAACAGGUAGUUGUGUCUCCGGCAAAACCACCUCCAAAGCCCGAUCCGGAGGUCGAUGAUCUGCUUUAUCUGAUGACAUUGACCAUCCCAGAGCUUUUCUUGAGGCCUUAUCAGGUUAGAUGGGAUGCCAUCGUGUUUGGGGUCUUUAAUCCAGAUUUCUCCC
rnacentral:lncRNA from 1 species